UAGACAGAUCUGUUAGCUCCCUAUUCUAUUACGAUGUUUGUUACGAUGUCCUUUCUUGCAAAGUAAAAUUGCGUUCCUAUGGCAGAAAGCAUCUCCACGAUAAAUACGCGAAGGCGACUGCCUGGCUUAAAAAAAUUCCUCGGAGGAAAUAAACGAAGGCAUUGAUCAUCGUUAAAAUGUCAACGAUGAAUACGAGAACUGCCUGAGAGUCAACAGCCGACCAUAUUUACGGAACAUAGAAACUCCGAUGUUCGUUGGACCAAGUCGUUUGACUCUUCGAAAAAAGGUAAUCGUAUGACAGACCAGCAAUAAAGUCGAUGAUUCCCUUCGA
rnacentral:lncRNA from 1 species